CCAGAAUUAACAGAAAGAUUGCUUUAAGCUGAAGAAACAUAAGGUUCAACAGAUGAAAACCUUCCUGGGUCUUCUUUAUCUUACUGAGAGUCGGGAGUCCUGGAAAGCAAGCGGCUACAAAUUCUUCUUCAAGUCACAUCGGCUUGAAAGGGAGACUCAAAUACUUUCCAAAUACUUUCCUAGCUUGAAGGGGCUGUGGAAGUUAUCAGUAUCGAAAGGGAAUCGUGAGCAUCAAUCACUAACAAAAUGGGGCCUGGAGGCUACAAGAGAGGAACAUGGAAGCAUUUGAUGAAUUCCAUUUGAUGAACCAAGCAGAGCAGUUCCCUCGAGGCAACUUGCACAAGGAGACUUGCCUAACUUAACAGCAGCUGUCUGCAGAAAGAGCUAUCCAGCUCUGGCCGCAGGCUGCAGCUACAAAAGAGAUGUCCCUCCUUCACUGUCUUAGCUACUGUUCUUUUGCUGUGAUGAAACACCAUGACCAAGGUUCCCAGUGUGCUUUGUGGUGUUCUGCUUGGACCAAGCCCCAGCCUAGAAUAACUCAGUAUUCCUCUUCCAAGACAAGACAUUUCACCUCCUGCCACCAGACCCAGACACCACCGACCUGAGCUUGCUGCUGAAACCUCCAAAUGCUGUUAGCUGUUUGACCAUCCUGAGGGACCUCAAAGCAGCAGGAGCGUGAAGCGGCCACUCACAUCACAGCCAGAGUCAGGAACCUAAGGAUGCAUGUUGCGGGCCGGCCAGCAGCUGGCAACGAACGGUUCAACUGAGAUGGCAGCUCGGGCUGAAAGAGAGGAACUAGACGGACGGAAGAAAGAACGGAGCCAAGUCAAAGCCAACUCUGAUCAAAGCUCAAUUUUACUAUAUCAGCACGCAGUUAUGAAGGAGGGGAAGGGGGGGUUGAUUUCCACCAAAUAGUCCUGGGGACCAGGAGCAGGAAGACCACGUGUAUGGCUCCGAACAGCAAAGCGGCAGGUUCCAGCAGUGGGCGUGGCAGAACGAUUGAACGGCAAGCUCUAUCCAGGUGUAAACAGUGGAACCAUUGAGGCUGGGGGAGGGGAGGCUACAGAUGCACCAUUGUGCUCAGCUGGCCUUCUCCAUUUUAGACAUCCCAGCAUCCUCUGCCCAGGGAACGGGCUUCCCACAUCAAUAAACUAAAGAUAAUCCUCCUUGGGCACCCCUAGGGGCCCAUCUCCAAGGGCAUGCCCAGAGGCCCAAUACUCCCUGGUGAUUCUCUCAAGCUACUAACACUUCCACACAUCCAAUAAUAGAGUCAGCCCAGAAGGUUUGUUCCCCUGAGGACCUGAGAGGACCUCAAUGUUCAAGCAUGGGGUUGCCUCUGAACAUAUGCAAGGGG
rnacentral:lncRNA from 1 species